GGGGGCGUGGCGGAAUGGUAGACGCUGCGGACUUAAAAUCCGUUGACCGAAUAAGUCGUGAGGGUUCAAGUCCCUCCGCCCCCA
rnacentral:tRNA from 1 species